rnacentral:rRNA from 1 species
AUUGAACGCUGGCGGCAUGCCUUACACAUGCAAGUCGAACAGUAACAGGUCUUCGGAUGCUGACGAGUGGCGAACGGGUGAGUAAUACAUCGGAACGUGCCCGAUCGUGGGGGAUAACGGAGCGAAAGCUUUGCUAAUACCGCAUACGAUCUACGGAUGAAAGCAGGGGACCGCAAGGCCUUGCGCGGACGGAGCGGCCGAUGGCAGAUUAGGUAGUUGGUGAGAUAAAAGCUUACCAAGCCGACGAUCUGUAGCUGGUCUGAGAGGACGACCAGCCACACUGGGACUGAGACACGGCCCAGACUCCUACGGGAGGCAGCAGUGGGGAAUUUUGGACGAUGGGCGAAAGCCUGAUCCAGCCAUGCCGCGUGCAGGAUGAAGGCCUUCGGGUUGUAAACUGCUUUUGUACGGAACGAAAAGCUCUGGGUUAAUACCCUGGGGUCAUGACGGUACCGUAAGAAUAAGCACCGGCUAACUACGUGCCAGCCGCCGCCGUAAGAC